CGUGUAGGCGGGAAAUUAAGUCAGAUGUGAAAGUCCUAGGCUCAACUUAGGGAGUGCAUCUGAAACUAAUUUUCUUGAGUGGAGGAGAGGAAAGCGGAAUUCCCAGUGUAGCGGUGAAAUGCGUAGAUAUUGGGAGGAACACCAGUGGCGAAGGCGGCUUUCUGGACUUUAACUGACGCUGAGGCGCGAAAGCGUGGGGAGCAAACAGGAUUAGAUACCCUGGUAGUCCACGCUGUAAACGAUGGAUACUAGGUGUAGGAGGUAUCGACCCCUUCUGUGCCGGAGUUAACACAAUAAGUAUCCCACCUGGGGAGUACGGCCGCAAGGUUGAA
rnacentral:rRNA from 1 species